CCGACCUGCACGAAUGGCGUAAUGAUGGCCAGGCUGUCUCCACCCGAGACUCAGUGAAAUUGAACUCGCUGUGAAGAUGCAGUGUACCCGCGGCAAGACGGAAAGACCCCGUGAACCUUUACUAUAGCUUGACACUGAACAUUGAGCCUUGAUGUGUAGGAUAGGUGGGAGGCUUUGAAGUGUGGACGCCAGUCUGCAUGGAGCCGACCUUGAAAUACCACCCUUUAAUGUUUGAUGUUCUAACGUGGACCCGUAAUCCGGGUUGCGGACAGUGUCUGGUGGGUAGUUUGACUGGGGCGGUCUCCUCCUAAAGAGUAACGGAGGAGCACGAAGGUUGGCUAAUCCUGGUCGGACAUCAGGAGGUUAGUGCAAUGGCAUAAGCCAGCUUGACUGCGAGCGUGACGGCGCGAGCAGGUGCGAAAGCAGGUCAUAGUGAUCCGGUGGUUCUGAAUGGAAGGGCCAUCGCUCAACGGAUAAAAGGUACUCCGGGGAUAACAGGCUGAUACCGCCCAAGAGUUCAUAUCGACGGCGGUGUUUGGCACCUCGAUGUCGGCUCAUCACAUCCUGGGGCUGAAGUAGGUCCCAAGGGUAUGGCUGUUCGCCAUUUAAAGUGGUACGCGAGCUGGGUUUAGAACGUCGUGAGACAGUUCGGUCCCUAUCUGCCGUGGGCGCUGGAGAACUGAGGGGGGCUGCUCCUAGUACGAGAGGACCGGAGUGGACGCAUCACUGGUGUUCGGGUUGUCAUGCCAAUGGCACUGCCCGGUAGCUAAAUGCGGAAGAGAUAAGUGCUGAAAGCAUCUAAGCACGAAACUUGCCCCGA
rnacentral:rRNA from 1 species